rnacentral:rRNA from 1 species
ACUCCUACGGGAGGCAGCAGUGGGGAAUAUUGGACAAUGGGGGAACCCGUAGAUCCAGCCAUGCCGCGUGUGUGAAGAAGGCCUUCGGGUUGUAAAGCACUUUCAGUGGGGAGGAAAGGUUGUUGGUUAAUACCUAACAGCUGUGACGUUACCCACAGAAGAAGCACCGGCUAACUCCGUGCCAGCAGCCGCGGUAAUACGGAGGGUGCAAGCGUUAAUCGGAAUUACUGGGCGUAAAGCGUGCGCAGGCGGUCUGUUAAGCGAGAUGUGAAAGCCCGGCUGC